rnacentral:rRNA from 1 species
UACGUAGGAUGCAAGCGUUGUCCGGAAUUAUUGGGCGUAAAGAGCGUGUAGGCGGCCAAACAGGUCCACUGUGAAAACUCGAGGCUCAACCUCGAGAGGUCGGUGGAAACCGUAUGGCUAGAGUCCGGAAGAGGAGAGUGGGAAUUCCCGGUGUAGCGGUGAAAUGCGCAGAUAUCGGGAAGAACACCCGUGGCGAAGGCGGCUCUCUGGGACGGUACUGACGCUGAGACGCGAAAGCGUGGGGAGCGAACAGG